rnacentral:misc_RNA from 1 species
AAGUCGUAACAAGGUUUCCGUAGGUGAACCUGCGGAAGGAUCAUUAACACGUCACUGAUUGUGCAAGGAUAGCGCUUCACGAUUCCUGUAGACCGUACACUCGGGCAGGAGCUAUGCCAAAGGGUCCCCAUGCCCCCUUAUAACCCCACAGUUUAAUGUAAAGCUCAAUGUAAUACAUUGGGUAAAAAAACCGAACAACUGUUAACAAUGGAUAUCUUGGUUCUC